CUUGCUUCUGUCGAAGAUAUCUAAACUGAGACUGAUAGGGGUAUUUCUCUUAAGCCCUACAUGCUUAUUAACCCUUAAUUGGGAACACAUGGGGUGGGUGUCAGCCGCAUUGUAACAUAGCUGUGUGAUACAAAAGUAAAGGCAAAUACUCAAAAACAAGUCCUGCGCUCCAACACCCACUACUCUUGGGCGGCAGCAACUGCCAUAGUACACCUUAACCCUUAACACAUACAGUAAAAACCAAG